UUUUUUUGGCCAUUUCCUUCCCUUCCCUUCAUCUCUCUUCCUUCCUUCUCCCUUCGUCUCCAUCAAGCAACCCUCUCUCUCUCUCUUCAUCAUCAUCGCGGAGGAGACGACGAUCGUUGUACGCGACGAGCUCUAGAGAGGGUUGAGAUUGAGUUUUUUGUAGGUGAGAUUGAUUAGACGGGAGCCAAAGAUUAUCAACCAUCUAGUAUUGAAGAAGUAAAACAAGAAUGCGCAAGUGGAUCUGUUGUAGAUGUCAAAUGGACGACUCAAAUGAAGAGCAACAACUCAAAAGUUCGCAGCAGCAGCAGUCUGAUGCAAAUCAUAAGAAUCCAAAACCAGCACCCGUUGCAAAACAGGAGGUGAAGAAGGAAGCUCUUCCGAU